ACACUCAAUCUAUGUAGCAGAUAGAAUCUUUAGAGUGAUUGAUUUAUGCAAAGAAGAAAAGACCCAUGAUUUGUUCGUUUUUACUCUCAUCAUAAUCGUGACAGAGACCUUGUGGUUGAAUAAUUAUGGCUAACACCUUUCUCCAACCCCUAAAUCCUCAAAUCCAGAAACAUAUCCAACUCUCUAUGCAUUGUGUACAACUUAACCUUUGGAAAAGAAAGAACACUACACUAUUUUCAAGAUAGCCAUGAUACCAUCCACCCCUCUUAAAUAUUUAGACCUCUAAUUUAACUGUCCUGUACCCCCUCCCCUCUCCUCUCUCUCUCUAGAUGACUCUCUGUAUCCCAUCAUCAUCAUCUUGAAUAAAUAACACCCAUCUGCCUUCUUUCUUUCAAGAACAUCUUCUUUAUAUGUGCACCACAGUUAGUGUGUGUUUUCUGGCUUUAGGGUUUCUUUCAUGGUGGUUUAGUGAAGAGUUUUCAUUAGAUUCCUUUAGGGUUUUUAGGGUUUCUUUCAUGGUGGUUUAAUAAAGAGUUUCCAGCAGAUUUCUUUGGCAUUCUGUCCACCUCCAUAUUCAUUGAUCUAUGUAUCUCACUGUUGUGUAAAUGUGUAAUUAGGGUUUAUUGGUUUGAUAAGAAAAGAGAAAUAAUCUAGUGCAAGAUUUUGUUUUCUUUUUCUUGUGUGUGUAAUCUGUGUUUAGUUAAGAGUGUGGAGGUGGGCAUACUGUCAAUGGAGCUCUGUUGGUAUCUCUUUGUAAAACCAUCUUGAAUCUUCUUUUUAUGAUCGAUCAUCUUUCCACAUGAUCUAUCACCGAAAAGUACAGUGUGUACUUGCAUAUUAUGCUUCUCACUACUGUGGAUAGUGUGUGUGUUUUUGUGUGGAUCUUGUUUUGACUUGUUGAUAGUGUUGAAAGCAUUAUGUUUUUGCAGUACUGGUGUGAUGAUUCAUCCCAAAAGCAGACGUCUGUGUAGAUGAUCAUUAUCAAAGCUUGCGGACUAUAUCUGUCGGAGAAGAGGUGGACAUCGGCAGGAGAAGAGAUAGAUCAAACCUCUGCAGUCUGCAAGAAGAAGACUGUUUGUUUUUUCAACGUAUGCAGACUUCUAAAAUAAGCUACUGGUGGUGUACGGACGGUGGUGGACGUGGGUGGGGUGAGGUGGUGCUGUUUAAUCCUUUGCAGUACUUAGAAGAUCUUAGAUAUGGUUGGAUUAAGUUUGCAACAAGAAGAACUCGUGCAGACGGUUUUUUUUAAUGAAAUGUCUUUGGAAAAACAAACAGUUUGCAGACAACAAAAUCUGCGCGGCAAAGAUAAAAGAGUCUGUGCAUGUCGUUUUUAGAAAAUCUACGCAACCUAAGAGUUUGUUUUAAUAUGAGUUGAAAUAUGUUAAUUUGUUUGAAAUAGAUUAUUGACCAAAAUGCUUAUAUA